rnacentral:rRNA from 2 species
UUAUAAAUAAAAAUUAUUAAUAAGAAAUUAAAUGAAAUCAUUAAAUUUAAAAAAUUUGGCGGUAUUUUAAAUAAUUAGAGGAAUUUGUUAAUUAAAUGAUAAUCCACGAGUGGAGGGUCCUAAUAGAGUUUUAUAUAUUGUUGUAUAAAAAUUAUUUUAUAAGAAAAAUAAUUAAAAAAUUUAAUUUAAUUUGAAUUCAAAUCAAAAUGUAGAGUUAUUAGGGUUGGAUGAAUUACAAUUUAAUUUAGUAACGGAAUUAUUUUUUUAAAAGGAUAAUGAAGAAGGAUUUAAUAGUAAAUUUGAAAAAAUUUUUAGAUUGAAAAAUAAAUUAAAAUAUG